UUCAGUGAAUCAUCGAAUCUUUGAACGCAUAUUGCGCUCUUUGGUAUUCCGAAGAGCAUGCUUGUUUGAGUAUCAGUAAACACCUCAACCUCCUCUGUUUUUUCAAAAGGAGGGUGGACUUGAGCUAUCCCAACAACCUUCACCGGUAGGCGGGCGGCUUGAAAUGCAGGUGCAGCUGGACUUUUAUCUGAGCUAAAAGCAUAUCUAUUUAGUCCUCGUCAAACAGGAUUAUUACUAUUGCUGCAGCUAACAUAAAGGAUAAUUGUCCUCAUUGCUGACUGAUGCAGGAUUUUACGACACUUUAUGUGUUGUUCAACUCGAUCUCAAAUCAAGUAAGACUACCCGCUGAACUUAA
rnacentral:sRNA from 1 species